CAGGAUCACAGACGUUUAAAUUACACUCCUUCUGCUGCGCCUUACAGCAGUAGAAGGGGUGAAAUUUAAACGUCUGUGAUCCUG
rnacentral:pre_miRNA from 2 species